rnacentral:rRNA from 1 species
GACGGAGGGGGCUAGCGUUGUUCGGAAUCACUGGGCGUAAAGGGCGCGUAGGCGGCCCAUGCCGUCGGCUCGUGAAAGCCCGGGGCUCAACCCCGGAGGUGCGGCCGAGACCCAUGGGCUGGAGGCCGGAAGAGGAGGGUGGAAUACCCAGUGUAGAGGUGAAAUUCGUAGAUAUUGGGUGGAACACCGGUGGCGAAAGCGGCGCUCUGGUCCGGUUCUGACGCUGAGGCGCGAAAGCGUGGGGAGCAAACAGG